CACGUAGGGGGCAAGCGUUGUCCGGAUUUAUUGGGCGUAAAGAGCUCGUAGGUGGUUCGGUAAGUCGGGUGUUAAACCCCCAGGCUCAACCUGGGGACGCCACUCGAUACUGCUGUGACUAGAGUCCGGUAGGGGAGCGUGGAAUUCCUGGUGUAGCGGUGAAAUGCGCAGAUAUCAGGAGGAACACCAAUGGCGAAGGCAGCUCACUGGGACGGUACUGACGCUGAGACGCGAAAGCGUGGGGAGCAAACAGG
rnacentral:rRNA from 1 species